AGAGAGACGUGAUAACACAGCUAACAGCAUCAGCACCCCACAGAAUUAAACGUCUUUGGAGACGUGUGGUGCGCAGGAACUAACAUACACAACAAUGUGCUGCACUCAGGAGAGGACAACAAUUCGCUUGACCUGUCAAACAUGUUAGAUAACUUCUGUUGUCACCAUUUAUUUGUCCCAAGACUACAACUAAGUUUUCACACCAUCAGCAGUGGCUGAGAUGACCAUUCACUCAGAACUGAGGGGAAUCUGACACUCAGUCAGUUAUGGAAGAUGGGAAGCAUCCAGCAUGCUGUGGUAGAACCAGAAAUCACAGAGGGACUCUGCCUGCCUCAUAUUGACUGGGACAACAGUGGACUGCUGGAUGACCCACACUGUGGGGUCACUAUUUCUGAAACUGGCAAUGUGUUGAGCCCUGAACAACUUGGUAGCACUGAGGGCAGCCAUGGAUGCACUGGGACAUUCUGAAUCGCACGGCUCAGAAUAUAUAUAUAUAUAUAUAUAUAUAUAUAUAUAUAUAUAUAUAUAUAUAUAUAUAUAUGUGUUGCUACUCUCCAGUAUGACCAACACUUUACGGGUUUAAUCUUAUUGUGGUUACCAUUGUUGCAAAAGGUUUUUAAGUAGUAAAAUCUAGCCAGGGAAAUGUAACUAAGUUAGUGCAUUCACUGAAUAAAAGUGUAGAACUGCUGGGAUUAUGAUGGUAAAUGUGUAUGGUACUGUAUAAACAUUUUGAAAAUGCUGAGGUUAUUGGAAAAAAGGGCACAUGGAGCUGUUAAUAAACCUGAGGAUGCAAACAGUGUGGGAAAAUUAAACAGUCCUUUAUUUUCCACAUUGCAUAAUAAACAUACCCUUUCAUAAAGUCUUCAUUUCCAAUUCUUACCAAUAUCAAUCAAAGUGAAUACACCUUUCCACAAGGAUUGCUUUUAUUGUUGAAAUCAAGACUGAAAGAACUCCAUUAAUUCUCCAGGUUUUUCCCAGUAAACAAUCCAUGUAUUACCAUAAAGCGGGCUGUAUAAAACAAACUGGCUGAUGAAAUGGAUGAAGCCAAAAACAG